AUGUUUGCUAAGAUCCAUGCAGUGCUCACUGGGGACACCAAUGUGCACUGCGGCGAGUGUCCAACCAGGGCCCAGGAGGUGCCUACCCCAGACCCCUGGGCAGGAGCUGGCCGGUCUCAAGGCCGCCAUGGGCGCCAAGCUCCUCUGCUGUGUCUCCUGGGAACAGGCCCUGGGGACGCCGCCGUCACGCAGAACCCCAGGUAUGUGGUCACAGCGAGAAGACAGAGCGUGACCCUGAAAUGUUUCUAUGAGAAAGGACACCGGUAUGUGUACUGGUACAAGCAGGCCCCGGGUCAGGGCCCCCAGUUCCUGGCUAGCUGUUAUAAUGGAAACGUCCCUGACAGAUUCAACAUAACCCAGUUCAGUAACUUCAACUCUGAGCUGACCAUGACCCCCGUUGAGCAGAAGGAUGCGGCCUGGUAUCUCUGUGCCAGCAGCUUGGCACAGCCCUGCAGGAGCCGCAGCCCAGAGCACAAAAUCUCCUCCCCAGUCAGGAAGUGGGUCCACACCGGCUCGGACUUCACGGCUGAUGCAGGGGGACCCGGCUCCAGUCUGUUCUGA